rnacentral:misc_RNA from 1 species
AAUCAUCAACCCCAGUUGGAUUUGUAAUUUGACUGGUGGCUUGGACUUGGGGGUUUGCUGGCCGUUUUGAUUCGGUCUGGCUCUCCUUGAAUGUAUUAGCUUGGACUUGUUCCUAAGGCUUCAUGGCGUGAUAAUUAUCUACGCUUUGUACUGUCUGCGGAAUAUCUAUGAGUCUAGCUUCUAACCGUCCUCUGGACAAUCUUUCAUU